GAUUUUGUCAAUUCCAAUGAAACAAUACGCCCUUGGGAGCAACGGACUCCAACCCAUGAACAAAUUGAUCUUGGAUUUGAGGAAUUCCACGUUGUCGACUUGGCUGACCUGCUCAGUCAGGCCAUCGUACUCCGCUAAAUUCAAGUUUGAAAAUUGCAUGUCUUCAAACUGGCCAACAUCAACAACAUCAUUCCCUCCGAUCUGAAUCGCGAGUCCGAGCUCAAGCAUGCUCCGACCUCGAACACAAAUCUAACUCCGAGCUCGGGUCCGACCUCGACUUAUAAUAAUACUGUAAUUACUUGAUUUCUUGAGUUCCUUUCAGUCCUGCUCUUGAGCUUGGACUCAAAGAUAACUCCGAGCUCGGGUCUGACCUCCACUUAUCUUGAGGACAGUCUGGCCAUCCGACUCAAAAUGCGAGACCGACUUCUUCUUACGACCUGUUGAAUUUGAUCUGCUGGAGCCUUCCCACUUAAAAGUUGAUCAUCUGGUGGUGGUGUCUGCUUUAAUUCUUGAAGGUUGUGGUUUCUUCCUUUGCAUACGUGGUGUCAGCUCCAUCAUGCCUUCAUAUCUGGUCCAGUUCGGUGUCGCGACGACCUCACUUGUUGGAGCUUGACCAGACCAGCGACUUCUUCAUCAGGUCGGCGCGCCUUUAGCACCAUCAUGUCUGUCUAUCUGGUCAAUUUCCACGUUGCUCCGGCCUCAUUUGUCGGGUCUUGACCAGACCAGCAACUUCCUCCUCAGGUCGGUGCGUCUUUGGCAGCUCGAG
rnacentral:lncRNA from 1 species